UUCCUGGUAGUCCAGUGGUUAAGACUCCAUUCUUCCACUGCAGGAGGCACAGGUUCAAUCCCUGGUCAGGAAA
rnacentral:tRNA from 1 species